UCUAACAGUCACGUACGGCUUUCCCUCAGGAACAUGGAUGUCAGGCCACAUGUGUGAGAGGCACAGCUACAAAAUGAGCAUCACGGAUGUUCGUCCUUGAAGUUGAAUUUUCAGAGCUGAAGGAAUAGUUUGAAGCUGAAGUGUCUUCCAGCCUGGUUAUGAGAAUUACAGAACCUAAACCAUGGCUUACACAUGUUGUUUGCUUUGGAAAAUAAAAACCUGCUUUUGAAAGCAUCUGAGUACACAGAAACGAGGUGAUGAUCUUCUCUUUCGUUUUUCAAUGUUUAUGUUGGAGUAGUGCUCAGAGCCCCCAGAAUUGAAGAAAUGAACUGCUCUGCAGUCGUUCAUGAAGAAGUUGUCACGACUCCUAAUGUGCCUGCCUGCUCCACUGCUACAAACUGUGCCACAGUGCAGCAAAGAAUUGAAUGGUUUCUGAAGCAAGUGUGUGAGGAAACCUGGCUUUUCAGCCUCACAAGGUAGUUGCUGGGAGGAAGGGAGAGAGGAAAGGAAAGAGAGGAGGCUGGGAUUUCUGAGACUGCGUCAGUACUUUAAGGAGUUGUUGAAUAAAGCAUCUCACAUA